rnacentral:rRNA from 1 species
AUACGUAGGGGACGAGCGUUGUCCGGAAUUACUGGGCGUAAAGGGCGCGCAGGCGGAUAUUUAAGUCAGCUGUAAAAGGCAUGAGCUCAACUCAUGUAUGCGGUUGAAACUGGGUAUCUAGAGUGCUGGAGAGGUAGGCGGAAUUCCCGGUGUAGCGGGUAAAUGCGUAGCUAUCGGGAAGAACACCAGUGGCGAAGGCGGCUUACUGGCCAGCAACUGACGCUGAGGCGCGAAAGCCAGGGGAGCGAACGGGAUUAGAUACCCCGGUAGUCCUGGCCGUAAACGAUGAAUGCUAGGUGUGGGUGUCGAGAGGCAUCCGUGCCGGAGUUAACGCGAUAAGCAUUCCGCCUGGGGAGUACGAUCGCAAGAUUGAAACUCAAAUGAAUUGGCGGGG